UACGAAGGGGGGCUAGCGUUGCUCGGAAUUACUGGGCGUAAAGGGCGCGUAGGCGGAUCUGCAAGUUGGGGGUGAAAUCCCGGGGCUUAACCUCGGAACUGCCUCCAAAACUGCACAUCUUGAGUACGGGAGAGGUGAGUGGAACUCCGAGUGUAGAGGUGAAAUUCGUUAGAUAUUCGGAAGAACACCAGUGGCGAAGGCGACUCACUGGCCCGUUACUGACGCUGAGGCGCGAAAGCGUGGGGAGCAAACAGG
rnacentral:rRNA from 1 species